rnacentral:rRNA from 1 species
UGGGGAAUAUUGCACAAUGGGCGCAAGCCUGAUGCAGCCAUGCCGCGUGUGUGAAGAAGGCCUUCGGGUUGUAAAGCACUUUCAGCGAGGAGGAAGGUGGUGAACUUAAUACGUUCAUCAAUUGACGUUACUCGCAGAAGAAGCACCGGCUAACUCCGUGCCAGCAGCCGCGGUAAUACGGAGGGUGCAAGCGUUAAUCGGAAUUACUGGGCGUAAAGCGCACGCAGGCGGUUUGUUAAGUCAGAUGUGAAAUCCCCGGGCUCAACCUGGGAACUGCAUUUGAAACUGGCAAGCUAGAGUCUCGUAGAGGGGGGUAGAAUUCCAGGUGUAGCGGUGAAAUGCGUAGAGAUCUGGAGGAAUACCGGUGGCGAAGGCGGCCCCCUGGACGAAGACUGACGCUCAGGUGCGAAAAGCGUGGGGAGCAAAACAGGAUUAGAUACCCUGGUAGUCCACGCUGUAAAACGAUGUCAAUUUUGGAGGUUGUGCCCUUGAGGCGUGGCUUCCGGAGCUAACGCGUUAAAUCGACCGCCUGGGGAGUACGGCCGCAGGGUUAAAAACUCAAAAUGAAUUGACGGGGUCAUAGCUG